AUUGACUGAAGGAAGAUUUG
rnacentral:miRNA from 1 species